AACCUAUUCGCCCGGAAGUGACAACAAGACUGCCACACCCUCUCACGCCUAGGAGGUAACGAACUUUGUUUAACCCGGAGGCGGGGCCAACCAGCUCCGCUUCUCCACCUGGACGCGGGAGCGAGGUUGAGGUUGGUACCCGCUGGGUUCUCUCCCGGCCUGAGGCCGAGAGCCAGCCGCCUGCCUACCUCUGGGCUUUGAACGCGGGGUCUGGUGACUUCGCUUAAAGAUCUCGGACCGAACACCCCGAGCCUUGCCCCCGCCAGGCUCAACCUCAGUUCACAGGACCCCCGACUUGUUUUACCAAGAUUAUGUUAGUACAGCUAGUGAGAUGCAGCACGCCAUCUUCAGCCCCCUUGCCUCUGGAAGAGACACCAGACUGCAAAGGGCACCGCGCACAGAAGCUAAUGGAACUUGAAUGAAAAGACAAAAAGAGCAGAACUGGUUAGUGUGACACAACAUUCUAACAUGCCUGAUUCUUACAUCGAAUAUGGUAACUUGAGGGUUGGUGGGGGAAGACAAACAAGGAAAAUCCACUUGGGAACAAUUUGAUGAAGUUUGCAAACCAGCAUUUUACCCCCAAAUUAACAACAGCUUGUAUGGAAAAAAAAAAUGCUAUUUUAAAAGUAUAUGGUUUGGACAGGUAUCUGUUUUCUCUUGCAGUUCUUGUAAAAAAGUAUCAAAACCUUGGCUUUAAAUAUAUAUAUAUAUACACACACACACAAGUGGCUUUUUAAAAAUUACUUUUUAUAGCACAAAGUGUUUGUAAAUGCAGAGGUUUUCUGCUAAUUCUUGACUGUGCACAUGGUGCAUAGCCUGAAUGAACAGAGCUUCCUGAUUUUUUUUAACUGAAAAAUUGAAGCAGUAAUUCUUUAACCUUCUAAAUUUUCCAUACCCUAAAAAUACAGUGUGAGAAGACUGUUACUCUAUCUUCAUGCAUUUCGGGAAAAGGAAUUAUUUACUCUGAAA